GGUCAAGUAAGAAAGGGCGUACGGGGGAUGCCCGGGCAUCAGGACGCGAUGAAGGACGUGGCUUUCUGCGAUAAGCGACGGGGAGUUGUAAGCAAGCAUUGAUCCGUUGAUUUCCGAAUGGGGCAACCCUCUCAGGUAACUCUGAGAACGCAAAUGCGAGCAAAGUCGGGGAAUUGAAACAUCUUAGUACCCGGAAUAAAAGAAAGUAAAAACGAUUCCGUCA
rnacentral:rRNA from 1 species